CCGGCUUCUUCCAGCUUCAUUCUUUCCUCCACAGAUGAAGGCGCUUUGAAGGCCACGUGCUCAGCACACAGACGGGAGCAAAGCAGACCUUGAUUUCCUGCAGGAAACUAGGGACAGGGUGCCAGACAGACGCAGCAUCUUGACUGGAGCGGUCAACGAGAGGAUGAAGAGAAUUGGAGGAUUUUAGGUCCAUUUGGGAAAUCAGCAGGCUGUGGAUGUCCCCUGGAUCCUGGGGAGCAGGCGAGAGAGGGACGUGUCAAGAGAACCACUGAGAUUCACGGCUGGGACAGCGGGAACUCAGGACACGGACAAGGACCCAGCGAGGCCCUGCUCCAGCCAGGACGCCCUCAGCGCACAGCACAAGUAGGUCUGCCCUCCAGGCCUCCCUCUGCAGCCCGACUGACGCAGCAGCGGACAGCCCGCCCCGCGUGGGUUCACCGGGGACCCUGUUGGAGCAGCAGCCUGGGGGACGCGUCGCCAAGGACAGGCCUGGCUCUGGCGAUCACCGCAGGUGUCGGCAGGAGCGUCUGCACCCCUGCAUGGAGGGGCUCCCCGGAAGUGCCCAGGCCUCACUGGGGCCCACACAGGGCCCUCUGCAACCUGCUCAGCUCAGGCCAGAGUCAGCAGAGCCCCGGGUGGCCUGUCCCCGUCAUCCCCGUGCACCUGCCCA